CGUUGUCCGGAUUAUUGGGCGUAAAGAGCUUGUAGGCGGUUUGUCGCGUCUGCUGUGAAAGGCCGGGGCUUAACCCCGUGUAUUGCAGUGGGUACGGGCAGACUAGAGUGCAGUAGGGGAGACUGGAAUUCCUGGUGUAGCGGUGGAAUGCGCAGAUAUCAGGAAGAACACCGAUGGCGAAGGCAGGUCUCUGGGCUGUAACUGACGCUGAGAAGCGAAAGCAUGGGGAGCGAACAGGAUUAGAUACCCUGGUAGUCCAUGCCGUAAACGUUGGGCACUAGGUGUGGGGGACAUUCCACGUUUUCCGCGCCGUAGCUAACGCAUUAAGUGCCCCGCCUGGGGAGUACGGCCGCAAGGCUAAAACUCAAAGAAAUUGACGGGGGCCCGCACAAGCGGCGGAGCAUGCGGAUUAAUUCGAUGCAACGCGAAGAACCUUACCAAGGCUUGACAUGCACGGCGACACUGCAGAGAUGUGGUGGCAUUUAGUUGGUCGUGUGCAGGUGGUGCAUGGUUGUCGUCAGCUCGUGUCGUGA
rnacentral:rRNA from 1 species